UCUCCGUAGGUGAACCUGCGGAGGGAUCAUUUCCACAAAGCGCUAUUUCCUCUGAAAGGUGGAGAAAGCGACUUUAAACAACAAACCCGCGAGCCUUUUAUGUUUGGUGUGCUGGCGCAAGCGAUUCGCUUCGCUUCAUCAAAAGCCAACACGCCACACAAUUUUACAAAAGACCCGUCAACUUGAAACUUAAAUCCAGUUUAUCCAACAAAAACAACUUUAAGCAAUGGAUAUCUUGGUUCUCACAUCGAUGAAGAACGCAGC
rnacentral:misc_RNA from 1 species